rnacentral:rRNA from 1 species
UACGUAGGUGGCAAGCGUUGUCCGGAUUUAUUGGGUUUAAAGGGUGCGUAGGCGGCUUUGUAAGUCAGUGGUGAAAUAUGGCAGCUUAACUGUCAGGGUGCCAUUGAUACUGCAGAGCUUGAGUACAGAUGAGGUAGGCGGAAUUCCAGGUGUAGCGGUGAAAUGCGUAGAUAUCUGGAGGAACACCGGUGGCGAAGGCGGCAUCCUGGACCGGCAUUGACGCUGAGGCGCGAAAGCCAGGGGAGCAAACGGG